AGUUUGAUCCUGGCUCAGAACGAACGCUGUCGGCGUGGAUAAGACAUGCAAGUCGAACGAGAGAAUUGCUAGCUUGCUAAUAAUUCUCUAGUGGCGCACGGGUGAGUAACACGUGAGUAACCUGCCCCCGAGAGCGGGAUAGCCCUGGGAAACUGGGAUUAAUACCGCAUAGUAUCGAAAGAUUAAAGCAGCAAUGCGCUUGGGGAUGGGCUCGCGGCCUAUUAGUUAGUUGGUGAGGUAACGGCUCACCAAGGCGAUGACGGGUAGCCGGUCUGAGAGGAUGUCCGGCCACACUGGAACUGAGACACGGUCCAGACACCUACGGGUGGCAGCAGUCGAGAAUCAUUCACAAUGGGGGAAACCCUGAUGGUGCGACGCCGCGUGGGGGAAUGAAGGUCUUCGGAUUGUAAACCCCUGUCAUGUGGGAGCAAAUUAAAAAGAUAGUACCACAAGAGGAAGAGACGGCUAACUCUGUGCCAGCAGCCGCGGUAAUACAGAGGUCUCAAGCGUUGUUCGGAAUCACUGGGCGUAAAGCGUGCGUAGGCUGUUUCGUAAGUCGUGUGUGAAAGGCGCGGGCUCAACCCGCGGACGGCACAUGAUACUGCGAGACUAGAGUAAUGGAGGGGGAACCGGAAUUCUCGGUGUAGCAGUGAAAUGCGUAGAUAUCGAGAGGAACACUCGUGGCGAAGGCGGGUUCCUGGACAUUAACUGACGCUGAGGCACGAAGGCCAGGGGAGCGAAAGGGAUUAGAUACCCCUGUAGUCCUGGCAGUAAACGGUGCACGCUUGGUGUGCGGGGAAUCGACCCCCUGCGUGCCGGAGCUAACGCGUUAAGCGUGCCGCCUGGGGAGUACGGUCGCAAGAUUAAAACUCAAAGAAAUUGACGGGGACCCGCACAAGCGGUGGAGUAUGUGGCUUAAUUCGAUGCAACGCGAAGAACCUUACCUGGGCUUGACAUGUAAUGAACAACAUGUGAAAGCAUGCGACUCUUCGGAGGCGUUACACAGGUGCUGCAUGGCCGUCGUCAGCUCGUGUCGUGAGAUGUUUGGUUAAGUCCAGCAACGAGCGCAACCCCUGUUGCCAGUUACCAGCACGUGAAGGUGGGGACUCUGGCGAGACUGCCCAGAUCAACUGGGAGGAAGGUGGGGACGACGUCAGGUCAGUAUGGCCCUUAUGCCCAGGGCUGCACACGUACUACAAUGCCCAGUACAGAGGGGGCCGAAGCCGCGAGGCGGAGGAAAUCCUAAAAACUGGGCCCAGUUCGGACUGUAGGCUGCAACCCGCCUACACGAAGCCGGAAUCGCUAGUAAUGGCGCAUCAGCUACGGCGCCGUGAAUACGUUCCCGGGUCUUGCACUCACCGCCCGUCA
rnacentral:rRNA from 1 species